rnacentral:rRNA from 1 species
GGAACGAACGCUGGCGGCAUGCCUAACACAUGCAAGUCGAACGAGACCUUCGGGUCUAGUGGCGCACGGGUGCGUAACGCGUGGGAAUCUGCCCUUGGGUUCCGGGAUAACAGUUGGAAACGACUGCUAAUACCGGAUGAUGACUUCGGUCCAAAGAUUUAAUCGCCCAGGGAUGAGCCUGCGUAGGAUUAGCUAGUUGGUGAGGUAAAGGCUCACCAAGGCGACGAUCCUUAGCUGGUCUGAGAGGAUGAUCAGCCACA